CCUACGGGAGGCAGCAGUGAGGAAUAUUGGUCAAUGGGCGCAAGCCUGAACCAGCCAGGUCGCGUGAGGGAUGACGGUCCUAUGGAUUGUAAACCUCUUUUGUCGGGGAGCAAGGCCCGCCACGUGUGGCGGGAAGUAGAGUACCCGUAGAAAAAGCAUCGGCUAACUCCGUGCCAGCGGCCGCGGUAAUACGGAGGAUGCGGGCGUUAUCCGGAUUUAUUGGGUUUAAGGGGAGCGUAGGCCGGAUGUCAAGCGUGCUGUGAAAUGUCCGGGCUCAACCCGGGCCUUGCAGCGCGAACUGGCGGGCUUGAGUCCGCGGAAGGCAGGCGGAAUUCGUCGUGUAGCGGUGAAAUGCUUAGAUAUGACGAAGAACCCCGAUUGCGAAGGCAGCUUGCUGCAGCGGAACUGACGCUGAUGCUCGAAAGCGCGGGUAUCGAACAGGAUUAGAUACCCUAGUAGUC
rnacentral:rRNA from 1 species